rnacentral:rRNA from 1 species
UCGAUGAGUAGGGCGGGACACGUGGUAUCCUGUCUGAAUAUGGGGGGACCAUCCUCCAAGGCUAAAUACUCCUGACUGACCGAUAGUGAACCAGUACCGUGAGGGAAAGGCGAAAAGAACCCCGGCGAGGGGAGUGAAAAAGAACCUGAAACCGUGUACGUACAAGCAGUGGGAGCCCCACCACCAAAGCAUUCUCUGGUGUUGAAGGCCCUGCAAAGCAGCAUCGCGGUGGCGGAGCGUCGUUUGCGACGCCCAACACACAAAACAAGCGGUGAAUGCUUUGGGGUGGGGUGACUGCGUACCUUUUGUAUAAUGGGUCAGCGACUUAUAUUCUGUAGCAAGGUUAACCGUAUAGGGGAGCCGUAGGGAAACCGAGUCUUAACCGGGCGUUAAGUUGCAGGGUAUAGACCCGAAACCCGGUGAUCUAGCCAUGGGCAGGUUGAAGGUUGGGUAACACUAACUGGAGGACCGAACCGACUAAUGUUGAAAAAUUAGCGGAUGACCUGUGGCUGGGGGUGAAAGGCCAAUCAAACCGGGAGAUAGCUGGUUCUCCCCGAAAGCUAUUUAGGUAGCGCCUCGUGAAUUCAUCUCCGGGGGUAGAGCACUGUUUCGGCUAGGGGGCCAUCCCGGCUUACCAACCCGAUGCAAACUGCGAAUACCGGAGAAUGUUAUCACGGGAGACACACGGCGGGUGCUAACGUCCGUCGUGAAGAGGGAAACAACCCAGACCGCCAGCUAAGGUCCCAAAGUCAUGGUUAAGUGGGAAACGAUGUGGGAAGGCCCAGACAGCCAGGAUGUUGGCUUAGAAGCAGCCAUCAUUUAAAGAAAGCGUAAUAGCUCACUGGUCGAGUCGGCCUGCGCGGAAGAUGUAACGGGGCUAAACCAU